rnacentral:rRNA from 1 species
GGGGAAUCUUCCGCAAUGGGCGCAAGCCUGACGGAGCAACGCCGCGUGAGUGAAGAAGGUUUUCGGAUCGUAAAGCCCUGUUGAGAGGGACGAGAGAUAUAAUCAGGAAAUGGGUUAUAGAGGACGGUACCUUUCGAGGAAGCCACGGCUAACUACGUGCCAGCAGCCGCGGUAAUACGUAGGUGGCGAGCGUUGUCCGGAAUUAUUGGGCGUAAAGGGAGCGCAGGUGGGAAAGUAAGUCAGUCUUAAAAGUUCGGGGCUCAACCCCGUGAUGGGAUUGAAACUACUUUUCUUGAGUGCAGGAGAGGAAAGCGGAAUUCCUAGUGUAGCGGUGAAAUGCGUAGAUAUUAGGAGGAACACCAGUGGCGAAGGCGGCUUUCUGGACUGUAACUGACACUGAGGCUCGAAAGCGUGGGGAGCGAACAGGAUUAGAUACCCUGGUAGU